CUACAAUGGCGUAACAAAGGGAAGCGAACCCGUGAGGGGGAGCAAAUCCCAAAAAUAAACGUCCCAGUUCGGACUGUAGUCUGCAACCCGACUACACGAAGCUGGAAUCGCUAGUAAUCGCGAAUCAGAAUGUCGCGGUGAAUACGUUCCCGGGUCUUGUACACACCGCCCGUCACACCAUGGGAGUCGGGAAUGCCCGAAGUCAGUGACCCAACCUUUGGAGGGAGCCGCCGAAGGCAGGUCUGAUAACUGGGGUGAAGUCGUAACAAGGUAUC
rnacentral:rRNA from 1 species